AUCCACAACGUGCAGAGUUUUUAGCCUGAAGCUGUCCAAAAUAUUCUGUCUGAGUAUCUCGUAAUUUAUAUUUAGACAACAAUUGGAAAGCUCCUGGUUGGGACCAGUAAAAAAAAUGUGAUCCCCAAUUGCUCCCUAGGCAUAGAACGCUGUUUAACAAUUUACUGGUGGCACCUAACAGCUCCAUGGGAUCUUUUCAUGUGGUAUCUAGAACAUCCUUGGUUAUUGCUUCUGCUGUUUGAGCUAUGUUGCUGCUAGUAAUGUAGCCCACCAAUACUUUUGGUAGAG